GUGCCAGCCGCCGCGGUAAUACGUAGGGACCGAGCGUUGUCCGGAAUCAUUGGGCGUAAAGAGCGUGUAGGCGGCUUGCUAAGUCUUGCGUGAAAUCUCGGGGCUCAACCCCGAGCGGUCGUGGGAAACUGGCAGGCUAGAGUGCGGGAGAGGAGAAUGGAAUUCCUGGUGUAGCGGUGAAAUGCGCAGAUAUCAGGAAGAACACCCGUGGCGAAGGCGGUUCUCUGGAACGCAACUGACGCUGAGACGCGAAAGCGUGGGGAGCAAACAGGAUUAGAUACCCCGGUAGUCC
rnacentral:rRNA from 1 species